GCCAUACAGUGUGCAGAAGUUCCCAGACCAAGAAACCAGAGCUACAGCAGUGAUAAUGCUGGAUCCUUAACCCACUGAGCCUCCAGAGAACUCCACUGGAACUUAGCUUUGAGUCAACAGUGUUCAUUGGGCAUCUACGCUAUACCAGACACCAUCCUUGAAGUAGGAAAUGCAGCAAUGAACAAGACAGUUGGUCCACCACCAGGGCAAGUGUACCUUCAGAAAACAAUGAACAAUUCCCCAUCAUUACCAGUGGCAUCGCUAAUGUAAAGGCAGAAGAGCUCAUGACAGCCUCACAGGUUCCCCCUCAGGGGGCCCUAAGAUGCAACUGGCAAACUGAAACAGUAAUGCCAAACAUGAGCCUACCUUGGAAUUAGCCAAAGCAGCUUGGUACAGCAUCCAAACAAGACCACAGUACAGCAUCCAAGCAAGGCUACUACUAUCAAGAUUAUGGUGCAUUUCCAUCACACUGAAAAGUUCUCUUAUGCUCUUUUGCAGACAAUCUCCUUCUCCCACACCUGGACCCUGACAACCACUAAUAUGCUUUCCAUCUCUACAAUUUUGCCUUUUAGUUGCCAUUUCAUAUAAAUGGCAUCAUACUAUACAUACUCUUUUGUGUCCAUCUUUUUUCACUUAACAUAAUGCUGAGAUUCACCUGUGUUGUGUAUAUCAGUUAUUAUUUUCUUUAUAUAGAUCUUCCAUUUUUGUAGAUUUAUGCCUGUUUCCUGAUUUUCAUGCUAAUGCAAAUAUUAUUGUUAUUUCAAUUUCUAAUUAUUGGUAACAGAAAUAUAAUUUUAUAUUAACAUCCUUUCUUGCAAAGUUGCUAACUCGCUUUUUAGAGUAACUUUGUUGUAGAUACUUUGAUGUUUCUUAUGUAGACAAUCUUGAUACCUAUGAAUAAAGACAACUUUAUUUUCUCUUUCCAAUCUGUAUGCAUGUUAUUUUUUUCUUGCCUUAUACUAGCUAGAAUCUCUAGUACAAUGUCAAAUUUAAAAAGUAUUGUGGACUUACUGGCCUUGUUACUUAUCUUAGGAGGAAAGCAUCUAGUCUUUCACAAUUAAGUAUGAUGGUAUCUGUAGAUAUAUAAUAGUUGUAGUGAAUGUUACAUGUACACUCGACAAGAAUGUGUAUUCUGCUAUUGGGUGGAAUGUUCUGGAAAUAUCAAUUUAGUCAAAAGGGCAAAGAUGUUUUCAUCAAGGUAAGGACUUCACCUUCUAUUCUAAUUUGCUGAGAGUUCGUAUUAUGAAUCUAUGUUGAUUUUUUGUCAAAUGUUUUUCUGUAUCUGUUGAAAUAAUCUUGUGCUUUUUCUCUUCUAGUCUUUUGAAAUGGUGAAAUAUAUUGAUUGAUUUUGAAAUGUUGAGCCAGCCCUGCAAUUAUAUGAUAAACCUCACUUUGUCAUGAUGUAUUAUCUUUUUAUAUCAUUGGAUUCCAUUUGCUGGUGUUUCAUUAAAAAUGUUCAUGUCUAGGAAAAUUGGUCUAUAGGAAUAUUGAUCUAUAGUUUCCUUUUUUUUUGUCUUUUGUCUUUUUAGGGCCAC